rnacentral:rRNA from 1 species
UACGAAGGGGGCUAGCGUUGCUCGGAAUUACUGGGCGUAAAGCGCACGUAGGCGGCUUUCUAAGUCGGGGGUGAAAUCCUGGAGCUCAACUCCAGAACUGCCUUCGAUACUGGAAAGCUCGAGUCCGGGAGAGGUGAGUGGAACUGCGAGUGUAGAGGUGAAAUUCGUAGAUAUUCGCAAGAACACCAGUGGCGAAGGCGGCUCACUGGCCCGGUACUGACGCUGAGGUGCGAAAACGUGGGGAGCAAACAGG